rnacentral:lncRNA from 1 species
GGCAGCCACAGGCCCUUGUCCUCUGGGAGGUCCCACGGCCUCAGGAGAGGCAGCCGCGGGACGGAGGAUCACAACAGACUGUGACAAGGAGGUCCAUGAUGGAAAUGUUGGGAGAGGGUGGGGGGUCCAAGACAAGCCCCACCCAGCUUGCAUGUGUGCCAAGCCCAGGGAAGUAUCUGGUUACAAAGUUGGGUAAGACUCGACCCCUGUGCUUAAGGAGCCCAGGUGGAGGGACUGGGCGUGGUGGGGAGGCAAACCCACACCCAGGUAACCACGUGUCAAGUGCAACUCAAGGCAUUACGGGUGCCUGGAGCUGUGCCACCCGGAAGUCACACUGGACAAGGAUGAGAGUGUGUGGCAUACAGAGAGACAGCCCCUUGGGUCAGCGCUGCCGACUGCAAUUCAAUGCAAGACUUUGGGAUCCAGGAAAGGUUUCCUUUUGCUCAAGACCUUCAGUGAGCAGACAGAACCGGUCUUCAAGGAACCCACUUUGCAAGCACUGCACACCACCAGCCCGUGUAAAGCGAACAGCUUCCUGCAAUCAUUAUAGUCUGGGAGAGGCUGAGAGCACAUCCUCGUCAGGACAAGCAGUGGAGAGGAGGGGGCAGCACAGCCACUGUGCAGUGGGGGUGGGUGUGGAAGACCCUGGUGCAAUUUGUUCAUAAACUUGGUCUUGAUUUUUCCAGUGGGACCUGAUGGAAAAAAACAGAGUUGUGAAAUAAGAUUUCUUUCAAUCAUUCACACUGUUGUGCACCGAUCUUUUACAUUAACUAAUUGCACCCAACUCCUACUUAUCCUUUAAGAGUCAGCUCUGAGGUCACCUCCUCCAGGAAGCUGCCGUGAGUGCAAGCAUGAUCCCCUGCUCAGGUUUCAUCAUCACUCUGCCUCCUUGAGAGGCAGUGAGCUGCUGUGCAUCUGUGAGCCCCUGAGGGCAGGAAUGGGCUGCUCAGCUCUGUGCCCACCGUUCUUGCAAGCUCGGUGUGAGGCAGAGGAUGGGGCCCCCAGUGUGGAUGGUGGCGCUUGGAGCGUUUGCUGGCCUGGGGACAUGCCUCAGGUGGUUGUGUGAAAGGGACGUGAUUCCUAAUUGAGAAGGUGAAGAAAGGCC